rnacentral:rRNA from 1 species
AUACUGGCUCAGGAUGAACGCUAGCUACAGGCUUAACACAUGCAAGUCGAGGGGCAGCAUGACCUAGCAAUAGGUUGAUGGCGACCGGCGCACGGGUGAGUAACACGUAUCCAACCUACCGGUUAUUCCGGGAUAGCCUUUCGAAAGAAAGAUUAAUACCGGAUAGUAUAACGAGAAGGCAUCUUUUUGUUAUUAAAGAAUUUCGAUAACCGAUGGGGAUGCGUUCCAUUAGUUUGUUGGCGGGGUAACGGCCCACCAAG